UACAGAGGGUGCGAGCGUUAAUCGGAAUUACUGGGCGUAAAGCGUGCGUAGACGGUUAUUUAAGUCGGGUGUGAAAGCCCCGGGCUCAACCUGGGAAUUGCAUUCGAGACUGAAUAGCUAGGGUACGGUAGAGGGAAGCGGAAUUUCCGGUGUAGCGGUGAAAUGCGUAGAUAAUCGGAAGGAACAUCAGUGGCGAAAGCGGCUUCCUGGACCAGUACCGACGUUCAGGCACGAAAGCGUGGGGAGCAAACAGGA
rnacentral:rRNA from 1 species